rnacentral:ncRNA from 1 species
AAAGACUUAGUCCUAACCUUACUGUUAAUUCUCGCUAAACAUAUACAUGCAAGUAUCCGCACCCCAGUGUAAAUGCCCUCAAUAUCUUCUUCCCAGACUAAAGGAGCAGGUAUCAGGCACACCCAUGUCGUAGCCCAAGACGCCUUGCUUUAGCCACUCCCCCACGGGUAUUCAGCAGUAAUUAAUAUUAAGCAAUAAGUGUAAACUUGACUUAGUUAUAGCGACACCUCAGGGUCGGUAAAUCUUGUGCCAGCCACCGCGGUCACACAAGAGACCCAAACUAACAGCACCCGGCGUAAAGUGUGGUAACAUGCUAUCCAACCAACUAAGACCAACAUACAACUAAGCUGUCAUAAGCCUAAGAUGUACCUAAAACCCUCAUAAAAAUGAUCUUAGCAUCCACGAUAAAUUUAAACCCACGAAAGCUAAGGCACAAACUGGGAUUAGAUACCCCACUAUGCUUAGCCCUAAAUCCCGAUACUUCACAUACACAAGUAUCCGCCCGAGAACUACGAGCACAAACGCUUAAAACUCUAAGGACUUGGCGGUGCCCUAAACCCACCUAGAGGAGCCUGUUCUAUAAUCGAUAACCCACGAUACACCCAACCACCUCUUGCCAAUGCAGCCUACAUACCGCCGUCGCCAGCUCGCCUAAAUGAUAGAACAAUAGCGAGCACAACAGCUACACCGCUAACAAGACAGGUCAAGGUAUAGCAUAUGAGAUGGAAGAAAUGGGCUACAUUUUCUAAGAUAGAACAUUCAACGAAAGAGAGCAUGAAACAUCUCUCAGAAGGCGGAUUUAGCAGUAAAAUAGAACAAGAACGUCUAUUUUAAGCUGGCCCUAGGGCACGUACAUACCGCCCGUCACCCUCCUCACAAGCUAUGCCUACUCUAUAAAUAAUAACUCUCCUAAGCUAAAGAUGAGGUAAGUCGUAACAAGGUAAGUGUACCGGAAGGUGCACUUAGCAUAU